rnacentral:piRNA from 1 species
GUGAGAAUUGGAGAUAGUAACUAGG